CAGGUGUGGGUGCAAGGAAUUUCAUGUUAUGCAUUCAAAUAUUUUUUUUUUAACUACAUGCGGUGCAUGACUAUAAUGAUUAUGAAUAUGACAGCUCAAAAAUGCUGUUAUGUGGGAAAUUUAAAUGAAAUCUCUGAGAGAGGGCAGAUGAGUGUGGAGAUAAGAGGGGAAUAAAUGCAGUCUGAAGGGGCAGGAGGAUUGGAAAAAAGCCCAAAAGAAUUUGCAGGUAUAGAACUGAAUGGAAGAAACAACAUGGCUGGAUCUGUGCUUCUUGUGAGCGCAGCACUAAGGCUUUUUGUAAAAUAUGCAGGUGAGAAUUCAGUGUAUUCCAUGAUGGGGAAGCAGACGUGAAAAUUCAUGCUAGCAGAAAGCAGCACACAUCACCCCCCCACUCCCACCCCCCCAGUAUGUCCAAACUGGGCAACAAAUGGAUCUCAAUGCAAGACAAUGAUCCCAAGUAUACCUGAAUUUAUUUGAAUAGGACAGUCAACAACCACAGACUGUACCAUCUGAAGGAGAUUGAAAGAUUUAAAGAUCCAUCCAUCUAUCCAGACCUGCAUUGUUCUUCUUGAAACUGAGGUUCGACUACCAUUUGGAGCCUCCCUUCCACCACCUUGGCAUAGGCAUUCCCUGGGAAGCUGAGGAGUGUGAUUUCUUGAUAAUUGGAACACACCCUCCAGUCCCCUUUCUUAAAGGUAGGGACCACCACCCCAGUCUGCCAAUCCAAUGCCAUUGUUUCUAACCUCCACGUGACAUUGAAGAUUUGUGUCAGCCAUUACACCCCAACAUCUGGAACGGAGUGUAGCACAGUGGGUAAGGAACUGGGCUUGUAACCGAAAGGUCGCAGGUUCGAUUCCCGGGUAGGACACUGCCGUUGUACCCUUAAUCAAGGUACUUAACCGAAAUUGCUUCAGUAUAUAUCCAGCUGUAUAAAUGGAUACAAUGUAAAAUGCUAUGUAAAAAGUUGUGUAAGUCACUCUGGAUAAGAGCGUCUGCUAAAUGCCUGUAAUGUAAUGUAAUGUAGUCCAGAGUCUUCAACAUCCACCCCUGGUGCUCUGCACAGUGACUGUUCCAGCUCUGCCUCCUGUCGGAUUUAGGAGCUUGUCAAAAUGUUCCUUCCACCUUCUGGCAAUUACCCUUGUUGUGACCCCCCCCCCAUCCCCUCCCCCACCCCCUUUAAAAUACUAUUGAAGACCACUCAGCAGUGUUAUCUUCGAGAAGUGAGGAUUCACAAAAUGAUAAACGCAGUGGUGGCCAAUGUUCGUUUACGGUUUGUGAACAUACUUUUUUAUUAUACAUACCAAACAUACUUUAAUGUAAUUGAUGUGCAGUCUGAUCUAUCAUUAAUUAAUAUGCAUAGUUUACAAUAGAUCAGAUAAAUAAUACGCAAACAAUUAGGUUUGGAUGAGUGGGGGUUGGUUGUGCAUCCAUUAACACAAAAUUAUUAUUAAAUAAAUCGCAUGCCCAAAUAUGACUGGAUAUUCUGAUUCAGUCAGUAUUAUUUUAAUAUAAUAUGCCAUCCUUAAUAUAACAUAUUGUGUGUUUACUUUCAAGACAUGCUUUUUCACCAUUUCUUUUCAGAUUUCAGACCAAAGUACUUGUAUGGGCUGUUUUAUGAUGCUAAAUACAUGCUUGUUGCGGGUGCAAUUAUGCUGACAACGUGACAGACAGGAACCAUGCCCCACCCACAUGAAAGGAUUGGUGAUAUUUAGGAAACUUCAAAAUUCAGCAUGAAAAAAUGGAAUAAAAUAUAAAAUCUGUUCAAUGUGUUUGUUAUUUUAAGAAAUUGCAUAUACAAUAAGAUAAAUCAUAUCAAAGCCAUGAAAAAAUGAUCAGUUAAAGCUGCAAUGCAACGCUUGCUGCAAUCUUCGUGGGGACAAACUUUUGUUAUUCUGCAAACAUGACAAAAAGCCUCUCUGUGUCGUCUGUCUGACGUCAAAAACCCACAGAAGCCACCCGGUCUGUUCAGUGGAAGAGGCUGUACUGGAUAUGAAGGUGUUUUAUUUUAAAUGGCAUCUAUUUCAUAUUCUCAAGACACAAUUAAAAAUGAGUAAAAUGUC